rnacentral:rRNA from 1 species
GCGACGUUACUGUCAGUGGCAAGCUUAACCGUCUAGGGGGAGGCGUAGGGAAACCGAGUCUUAAUAGGGCGGUUUCAGUCGCUGGUAGUAGACCCGAAACCGGGCGAUCUAGCCAUGGACAGGGUGAAGGUUCGGUAACACGGGACUGGAGGCCCGAACCGGGAUCUGUUGAAAAAGAUUCGGAUGAUCUGUGGCUAGGAGUGAAAGGCUAAUCAAGCCCCGGAGAUAGCUGGUUCUCCGCGAAAAGCUAUUUUAGGUAGCGCGUCAGGUGAUUUACCCCACGGGGGUAGAGCACUGUUUCGGCUAGGGGGUCAUCCCGACUUACCAAACCGAUGCAAACUCCGAAUACCGUGGAGUACAGCCUGGCAGGACACACGGCGGGUGCUAAACGUCCGUCGUGAAAAGGGAACAACCCAGACCGCCAGCUAAGGUCCCCAAUACUGGUUAAGUGGGAAACGAUGUGGAAGGCACAGACAGCUAGGAGGUUGGCUUAGAAGCAGCCAUCC